UCACAGUUUGCACUGGCAGUCUUGUUAGAGUUCCCGACACUACUCGCUGGCAACUAACAACAGGGGUUGCGCUCGUUAUAGGACUUAACCUGACACCUCACGGCACGAGCUGACGACAACCAUGCACCACCUGUAUACGGCCCCGAAGGACACCAUAUCUCUAUGGCUUUUCCGUAUAUUUCAAGCCUUGGUAAGGUUCUUCGCGUUGCUUCGAAUUAAUCCACAUGCUCCGCCGCUUGUGCGGGCCCCCGUCAAUUCCUUUGAGUUUUAGCCUUGCGGCCGUACUCCCCAGGCGGGGCGCUUAAUGCGUUAGCUACGGCACGGAUCCCGUGGAAGGAAACCCACACCUAGCGCCCACCGUUUACGGCGUGGACUAC
rnacentral:misc_RNA from 1 species